UGUUAAAGCAAGAUUGUUGUUGGGAUUUUUUAUCAAUUUCUGGAUUUCAUUUUCGUUAUUUCAUAUUUCACUUUCUCAGUGCUGCAUCACGUAAGGUGUCUAGAGGUAAUAGUAAUGGCCCUGGAUCAAUUCCACAAUUUGGAAGCCCUAAAAAAGAGAGAGAGAAAAGCUGCUACAGUAAUUUUACCAAUGGAAUUGUUUGGACUUGUGCUUUAGUUCAUUAACAUUGUCAUUGGUCUUUAGUGUGUUUAAAGAUUUUAGUAGUUUAUGAAAGAACCAAAAGCGUAUCACAUGAAUUAGGUUGCGUAUCACAGCAUCCAUACGGAGUGAUUUUAUCACACUACAUCUCAACUGGUAUAUGAACAAUGACCAAAUUUGCAUUGUGAGUGUUAAUGAAAACCACAGGAAAUAAUAUAUCUAACAUUGUGAAUGAAAACAGCUCUAUUUCCAUCUUGAGAUGGAUUAGUGUGGGUUUUGUACAGCUGGUAUUGGAUAAAUUAAAUCUGUAGUUGCACACCAUAGUCUCCUCUUGAUAGGGAGUCUUGGCCAUUGCAUAGACAUGUAGUAAGGAAUCAUAGCUCAUGGGGGAGAAAAAAAGUUGAAGAACACACACUUCAGCCAGUAUGAAACACUAGAACAAUGCUUUAGAGAGACAUUAAAAUUAAUAAUAAACUGUAUUCCAUUUCAUAUAAAACCAACCCAACCUGUGUAAAAUCAGCAUUCUUGAAAAAAAUCUGACUGAUUAUUUAUCAUUUCCUGAACAAAAUUGUUUGAACUGAAAUAUUUUGGCCAUUUUUCGAUUUUCAGUCAAGGUAGGGAACACAGGAACUAUUUAGUCAAGUGGGUUCCAAAGCAUACUAUUUUUGCAAAUAGGUUAAGGUGCAACAGAUAAAUGCACAAAGGGCUUCAGUUCUCCAUGUAUUUUUUCCACAACAGCUAGUUUCAGAAAGCCAUAAAAGAGAUUACAGAGGCAGAGUGAGGAACUAGCAGGAGCUACCAUGAACGCAUGUAAUCCCUUCCUCCCACCAGCCCUCUAGAGGAUACAGAGUACUGCAAAGCUCAUUUUAAAAAACUAUCAUUAGCCAUGACUUUUCAAAAAGGCACAAGUCUUUACAAUUAUAGCUGUUCUUGUUCUAAACAUGUUUCAGUCAUCAGAAUUUGGGAGAUAAAGAGACAUCUGAAAAGCUGCAUAACACAAUGGCUGAUUAAAGAUUCUGCAUCCCCAAGAGCUUGUGCAGCAGCUAAGAUAGAAUUUUCUUUCUUUUGUAAAAACACAUACCAGUUCUGCAUUUACAUAAAGUAAUCAUUUAAGGUGGGUAAAAAGAGGUUCUUGGCAACAGGGAGGUCUUUGUGGAGGAAUAUGCUAUUUUCUGUAGAGUUCCAUCAACAUACUCAAAUUUCCUUCCAAGAAUCUUCCAAGAAUUAGCAUAUUUUUUUAUAACUCCUUCUCAGAUACACUAUGUCACUUGCUCUCGCAGUUCCCAUUUAUAACUGAUAUCACAUGAGCUCCAUUUAAGACACGGAGCAGAGCCUGAGCUGUUAUGACACAGAAUCACAUAUAUGGGCACAAACUUUAUUUGGCAAGUACCCACUCUUUAUUUCAAGUAAUUUUCUUCAAUCAAGGUGAGGAGGUCCCAGAUGAGGCGAAGUUCCACUGUAGGUUUCCCCCUCCCUCUCUGGACAAUCACUACCUAAGGUGCUCUGAGGCUGGGAUUUCACUUUUUAAGGAACCUGCAAGAACAUCAUCUGGUUCCUGAGGAGGUUGUCAUGAGAUGAGAGGUUUCUAGGAAAAAAAAAAUCUUCCGUGUAAAAAGGAUUCAGUGUAGAAAAAAUAUGUAAGUCUAUAAAAUUCAC